AUGUUUAAGCUUCAGAAAGAUUUUAUUUCAGGCACGAUGAGUGGUAAACACGUUUUGACGUUUAUCUUCCUGCUUGUCUUAUCCAUAGCUGGAGGGAAAGACACUCUUAGAGACCAGAAAAAUAUCACAGCUGAGUCUGGACAGAACGUCACUCUGACAUGUCGAGCUUCCAACAACAACAUCAUAGUUGUAGAGUGGAGCAGAGCUGACCUGGAGUCAGAAUAUUUGCUUUUGUAUCGAGAUGAGCAGUCUGUUCCAGACAACCAGCAUCCAUAUUUUAAGAACCGGGUGGAUCUGCAGGACAGACAGAUGAAGGAUGGAGACGUGUCUUUGAUUCUGAAGAAUGUGACGAUUAAUGACACUGGAACAUAUGAGUGUCGUGUUGUCCAAAGAGUCAGAGAACCUAUGAGGCUCAUCAAGACCAUCUUCCUGAGUGUUGCUGUUCCUCCAGGUGAGUGAGUAGAGUUGAGUGUGUGUGUGAUCAGAGGUGAAGCUGCUUCCUGGUUGUUGAUGUUUGUUUCUAAAGAUGUUGUUGAUGAGACUUUGUAGAAAGCAGCUGGUCUGAGUGAUGUGAUCAGAGUGCAGUAGAUAAUGUCUGACAGCAGUUUGAAGAGGAAAUGGAUUCUGUUCUGUUCUUCACUCAUCACCUACCUGACAGCUGACACCUCACACCUGUUUCUCACCUGCAGGUCAGACAGGAGGACACACAGAGGAUGGAGGGAAGGAGGCUGGAGGGAAGGAGGCUGGAGGGAAGGAGGCUGGUGGGAAGGAGGAUGGAGGGAAGAAGGAUGGAGUCAGUAGAGGACGUUAUGGGCUGAUAGCUUCUUUUUUGUUACUUCCUGUAUUCAUUGCAGCUUUUUUUGUUGUUGCAAAACUGCAAAAAAGAACAUUAUCCAAGGAUCUUCCUUCUGAUGAACCAGCUGCCAGCUGUUCUGAAACCAUAGUGUCACUGAGAUGAUGCAAACAGCAGCCUCAUACAACAUCAAGUCUUACAUGAGCCGUUACUUAUUUAGCCUCACACAUUCUCACACUCAGAUCGAUGCAUCAGGGCAAAUCAGGCUUCUGUAUCUGACACUCCAGAGGCCAGAAGUCAAACCACCAACAUUUCAAUUUGCACAAAACCCACUCUACCUCCUCCACAGAUCGAAUUGCACAGAACUCUGGUGCGUCUUUACUGAAUAAUCUUUAACUGUGAUUAUUGAAUGAAUGACAUUUUGAAAUUUGUCUUUAUCCUCUAUUCUGGUUGUUGCAGCUCUUCAGUUUGUCUUGAAUAUAAAAUGAAAGCAAAGUGUUCUCGCCUUUUGUGAAGCUGAAGAGUCACUGUCAGAGUUUUACUAUAAGUCAGCAUGACUGCAGGAUUAGAUCCAGAUCAGAUCUUUCCUGAUUCUGAUUGUGGGCAGGUUAUUUCAAUGAGUAGAGCUCUUAAGAAGGAAUUGAAAUUGAAAAUGAUUCAUUGAAGUACAGAAUUUAAUUUGAAGUAUUUGGUGCUUAGACUUUGAUGGCCCAUCACUGUUGACUUCAGACCACAGAUGUGAUUUCUGCUGGAGUUUUGCAUUUAAAACCUGCAGACUUUGUUCCUUUAAGCUAACAGCAACACAAAUCAUGUUUCUUACUGAGACUUUUUGAAUGUUUUAUGACGAUUGCAGCCUUCUUGUUUCUUCUGUGGCUGAAUGUGAAUGUAAUGACUAUUGUUAAUAAUUUGUGAUAAUUACUGCGAUUGUUCCACCAGCACAUUUAAACAGAGCAGAGAAACAGCACAAACAUACAAACACGUGUCUGUAGGAUGGUAAAUAUUUGUUUUGCUGUUGAGGUUCAAAUUAUUAUUCCAGAUGUUUUGAUGUUCAGAUGUUUUAUCAUUAAAAUGUUUGGGAACUGAAAAAAUAAAAUAUUUUAGCUAAUUUAACGUCUGCAUAAUGUUCUGGCUUCAUGUGAUGUUUAUAGAUGUGACUGCAUGUUAACUGCAGUUUGAUGUAUUUGCUGAUUUGUUGACUUUGAUCUUUCAAAUGGGGCAGAAUUGGAAAAACAGCCUGAAUAAACCCACUAACUCUGAACAUGAUGAGGAGGAAGUGGGAAUUCUUCUUUUUCAGUUCACAAGAUCACAAAAGCAAGCACGACACAAAUCGCACCACAAAGUGACGAUUUGUCCGGUUCUUAAAAGAUGCUGCUCAUCCCGGUGUUGUAACAGGUCACUGCUCUGCUCCACUCUGAAACUGGGAUGUGUUUAUGUGAAGCACAUCAGAGUGAUGUUCUGUCCAGCUGUAUUUAUUUCUAGAAGAGGAGACAGAAUACAGAGAAAGUAACGCGGCCUGCAGGACUGAUCAUCAUGAUGAGGUACAACAGAAACCACUGAUUCCUGUUGAACCACAGGAUGUAGAGCUCAACUGUGGUGUUUGCUAUCUCAGAGUUACGGCUCUCUCCCUUUUCGUUUGGACAGACUUUAAAAUAACUACCCAGAUUAUUACUGCAUUAUUUAUUUACAGGUUCACUUGAUGAGAUUUGCAUCUAUGCAUCCAUUUUAUUUUAGUUUUCUUUUUAUUUCUGGAUGGGAAAAAGAAAAUAUAUAUCAGGAUGCCUGACUCCAUGGUUCCAGGGUUUGGUUCAUGGGGCUAGCAGUCAUAGCAAAGAAGCCAGACUCUGCCACCUUAUCAGGGAGAGCACAGAGGUGUUCUUGUACCAGACAAGAGAUAAAAUGCCUCCAACAUGUCCCGAGUCUCCCCAGGGCCUCCUCCUGGUAGGACAGGAGUUGUUCUGGACAUUUAAAAGAGUAUUUGAAAGCUCUAUGAAUGCUCAGUAGGAAAGCCCUCAUCAUUAGUCCCUCUGAAUGACCGAGAUCUUCACCCCAUCUCGGAAAAAGAAUCAGCCCAUAAAGAAACUGAGUGCUGUUGCUUGUAUCAUCCUUGGUCACUACCCAGAGCUCGUCACUAUAGGGGAGGGAAAGGAGUACUCUUACUGAGCACUCAUAGUCAGUUUGCUUAUUCACCCACUCUCACACACACACUUGAAAGCAUCAUCCCAUACCUGACUGCCUUGCUUUACAUUUUACACACUCACACUCCAAUAGAUGCAUCAGGGGAAGCUCAAGGAUUCAUCACUAUGCAGGCCUAUGAGUAGGGAAUUAAACUACUGACUCUGUUAUUGUUAUUAUUAUUAGUAGUAGUAGUAGUAGUAGUAGUAGUAUUAUUAUUAUUUUACAUGAUUAUGGGCCAAAAGGGGCCUCAGGUGUGUGUGUAGUGUCAUGUUGCAUCUUUACUUACUUUUUAAUGUAAGUUUUGUUAUUUAAUUGUAGAAAGUC
ensembl:lncRNA